GCGGGUGUGGUGAAAUUGGUAGACACGCCAGACUUAGGAUCUGGUGCCGUGAGGCUUGGGGGUUCGAGUCCCUCCACCCGCA
rnacentral:tRNA from 1 species